UUUUACUUGCAUGAGAACUUGAUAAUGAAAGACCCCCGAAGUGGGGAGACCCUCACUCAAGUCUCGGGAUGAUGCGACCCCCCAAGAACUCACAUGAGACC
rnacentral:pre_miRNA from 14 species